GCGGACGGCUCAGUAACACGUAGUCAACCUAACUCGUGGACGUGGAUAACCUCGGGAAACUGAGAAUAAACCACGAUAGAUCAUAGUGCCUGGAAUGGCUUAUGGUCCAAACAGUUUACUGCCAUGGGAUGGGACUGCGGCCUAUCAGCUUGUUGGUGAGGUAAUGGCCCACCAAGGCGAUUACAGGUACGGGCUCUGAGAGGAGAAGCCCGGAGAUGGGUACUGAGACACGGACCCAGGCCCUAUGGGGCGCAGCAGGCGAGAAACCUUAGCAAUGUGCGAAAGCACGACUGGGUCAGUCCGAGUGAUUCCUGAUAAAGGAGUCUUUUGCUUGUCCUAAAAGCACAGGCGAAUAAGGGGUGGGCAAGUCUGGUGUCAGCCGCCGCGGUAAUACCAGCACCUCGAGUGGUCAGGACGUUUAUUGGGCCUAAAGCAUCCGUAGCCGGCUUUGCAAGUCUUCGGUUAAAUCCACCUGCUCAACAGAUGGGCCGCUGGAGAUACUACAGAGCUAGGGAGUGGGAGAGGCAGACGGUAUUCAGUGGGUAGGGGUAAAAUCCUCUGAUCCAUUGAGGACCACCAGUGGCGAAGGCGGUCUGCCAGAACACGUUCGACGGUGAGGGAUGAAAGCUGGGGGAGCAAACCGGAUUAGAUACCCGGGUAGUCCCAGCUGUAAACGAUGCAAACUCGGUGAUGCAUUGGCUUAUGGCCA
rnacentral:rRNA from 1 species